AAUUGAAUCAUGGGGGCCGGUCUUUCCCAUGCUAUUCUCGUGAUAGGGAAUAAAUCUCACGAGAUCUGAUGGGUUUAUCAGGGGUUUCCGCUUUUGCUUCUUCCUCAUUUUCUUUUGUCGCUGCCGCGUUAGAAGUGUCUUUUGCCCCGCCUGGCCCCUGUAAUCCCAGCACUUUGGGAGGCCGUGGCGAGCGACGCCGGCGGAUCACCUGAGGUCAGGAGUUGACGACCAGCCUGGCCAGUAUGGUGAAACCCCGUCUCUACUAAAAAAAAAAAAAUUAGCGGGGCAUGGUGGCUCUCGCCUGCAGUCCCAGCUACUCAGGCGGCUGAGGCAGGAGAAUCACUUAAACCUGGGAGGCGCAGGUUGCAGUGAGCUGAGAUGGCGCCACUGCACUCCAGCCUGGGCAACAAGAGCCAGACUGCGUCUCAAACAACAACAACAAAAAAGUGCCUUUCACCUCCACCCAUGAUUCUGAGGCCUCUCCAGCCGUGUGGAACUGAGACAUUGUCAAAACAUCAAGCUUUUCUAUCAUGCAGGUCCAGAUAAAGAGGGUUGGAGUGGAUAUGAAAGGAUUCCACUGAGGUUGGGAUGAAAGAAAAAGACGAUCUAGAAAUUUCAAGGAACUCUGCUAUGUAAAUUUACCUGAACAUUACAAGAUAAACCUGAGUGUCUAAGAGACUAUCCUAAUCUCACAGACAUUUUAACCUGUGUAAACCCUCGAUUUGCUGGAAUGAACUUCAGUCAUGCAUUUGAGAACCCCCACUUUAAAUAUCGUAAAAAUGUCAUAAUAAUUUCAGAUAAAAGGUUUCCAUUUUUCUCCUUAUGUUUAUAAAACAAAAUUAAAGACUUGUUUUUUCCUCUUUUUCAUUUCAACCAACAAGGUUUUAAGGCCUGAAGAGCAAUUAUAUUUAUACUUUGCCAUGUUUGGUUGAAAGUUUAAACUUGAAAUAAAGUUGAGAUUUAUU
rnacentral:lncRNA from 1 species